ensembl:lncRNA novel transcript
AGACUCUGUGAAAGCAGGAGCAGCAGCAGCAAGGACUCCAGAACAGCGGACUGCAGCUGUCAUUUAGACCCUGGGCGAAGGAAGCAGAGGGAAAGAGAAGGGGCGAGGAGGAAUGAUAUAUGCCUGGGUAGAAGAAAGGAGUCCCCCAGAGCACAACCUUUAAGAAGAGCCAAAAUCACUAUCAAGGAAGAACUGAAGCCUCAGUCAUGUGAAGGCCCAGAAGAGAAGGUGAGAAUGGAAAUGGGAGUAACUAGGCUGAUAAUUGCUAGAGGCAAAACAAAGGCUAAUGAGUUGGAACUAAGGUUACUGACAUUUUUUAUUAUAGAUUACGCUCAGCAAUAAUGAUGGCAGGUUAAAGGAAAACUUAUAGAAUAAUUUAUUUUAAACACCUUGCAGCAAGGAAUUUUGUCUUUUACUUUUUGUAAUACUACCAAGUACUAAAAGCAUCCUUAAAUUAAUAAUGGCCACAAUGAUAAUCAUAAUGGGAACUGCCUUUCAUUUAGGAUUUAUAAUGUACUAAGCCCUGUAAUAAAUGUUUCACAAAUCUCAUUUGGUCUUUACCACAACCUUUUGGUAAGCAUAUAUUUUCACCUUUUAAAAAAAUUCAUUUCAAAAAAAAGAAAAGGAUUCUCACACAUUUUAACUAAAACACACAAAGUCACUUAGCUAAUUUGUAGUGAAGAUGAGAUUCAAAUUCAGGUCCAUGCUCCUACACAACACUGCAUCUGUAAGGAGUAUAGGUGAGACAGGGUUGGUUAAGAACCAACUUAACCUCUCUAGACCUUAGUCUGUGUAUAAAAUGAAUCUAAAUUGAAUCUAACCUAUGGAGUUAUUCUGAAUAUUCAAUGAGCUAAUUCAUGUAAAGCAUUUAUUGUAGUGUUUGAUGCAUAAUAAGUGCUAUAAAUAGUAUCUAUUACUAUUAUAAGGCAUACCAUUCUGGCUUCCAAAUGUUUGCUCUUUAAAUCAAUAUCUGCAUCUUUUGUCAUAAAUAUUGAUACUAGCUCAAUUUAGAUAAUAAAAACACUAUAAAAAGAAA